rnacentral:rRNA from 1 species
ACUCAAAUGAAUUGACGGGGGCCCGCACAAGCGGUGGAUCAUGUGGUUUAAUUCGAAGCAACGCGAAGAACCUUACCUGGGUUUGACAUCUCUGGACAUCCGUAGAGAUACGGCUUUCGUAGCAAUACGACCAGAAGACAGGUGCUGCAUGGCUGUCGUCAGCUCGUGUGGUGACAUGUUGGGUUAAGUCCCGCAACGAGCGCAACCCCUGUCCUUAGUUGCCAGCAUUCAGUUGGGCUCUCUAAGGAGACUGCCGUGGUGAACACGGAGGAAGGUGGGGAUGACGUCAAGUCCUCAUGGCCUUUAUAUCCAGGGCGACACACGUGAUACAAUGGACGGUACAGAGGGAAGCGAAACCGCGAGGUGGAGCCAAUCUCAAAAAGCCGUUCUCAGUUCGGAUUGGAGUCUGCAACUCGACUCCAUGAAGUUGGAAUCGCUAGUAAUCGCGGAUCAGCACGCCGCGGUGAAUACGUUCCCGGGCCUUGUACACACCGCCCGU